rnacentral:misc_RNA from 1 species
UCGCCAUCCAGGCCAAGGAGAUUCUCAAGCUGCGCGACCGCCUCAACAAGAUCUACCAGAAGCACACCGGCCAGGAGAUCGACAAGAUCGAGCAGUGCAUGGAGCGCGACCUCUUCAUGGACCCCGAGGAGGCGCGCGAUUGGGGGCUCAUCGACGAGGUAAUUGAGAACCGCCCCGCGUCCCUGAUACCCGAGGGCGCCACUGGCGUUGACCUGCCG